AAGCAGCAGGGUUGGAGGGUUGGAGGAGGAGGUAGAAGCAGCAGGGUUGGACGGUUGGAGGAGGAGGUAGUAGCAGCAGGGUUGGAGGGUUGGAUGAGGAGGUAGUAGCAGCAGGGUUGGCGGAUGAGGUAGAAGCGGUAGGGUUGGAGGAGGAGGUAGAAGCAGCAGGGUUGGACGGUUGGAGGAGAAGGUAGUAGCAGCAGGGUUGGAGGAGGAGGUAGAAGCAGCAGGGUUGGAGGGUUGGAUGAGGAGGUAGAAGUAGCAGGGUUGGAUGAGGAGGUAGAAGCAGCAAGGUUGGCAGAUGAGGUAGAAGCGGUAGGGUUGGAAGAGAAGGUAGAAGCAGCAGGGUUGGACGGUUGGAGGAGAAGGUAGUAGCAGCAGGGUUGAAGGAGGAGGUAGUAGCAGCAGGGUUGGAUGAGGAGGUAUUAGCAGCAGGGUUGGAGGAGGAGGAGGUAGAAGCAGCAGGGUUGGAGGGUUGGAUGAGGAGGUAGAAGCGGUAGGGUUGGAAGAGAAGGUAGAAGCAGCAGGGUUGGACGGUUGGAGGAGAAGGUAGUAGCAGCAGGGUUGGAGGAAGAGGUAUUAGCAGCAGGGUUGGAGGAGGAGGUAGUAGCAGCAGGGUUGGAGGGUUGGAGGAGGAGGUAGAAGCAGCACGGUUGGAGGAGGUGGUAGUAGUAGCAGGGUUAGUGUCGGAUGAGGAGGUAGUAGCAGCAGGCUUGGAUGAGGAGGUAGAAGCAGCAGGGUUGGAGGAGGAGGUAGAAGCAGCAGGGUUGGCAGAUGAGGUAGAAGCGGUAGGGUUGGAAGAGAAGGUAGAAGCAGCAGGGUUGGACGGUUGGAGGAGAAGGUAGUAGCAGCAGGGUUGAAGGAGGAGGUAGUAGCAGCAGGGUUGAAGGAGGAGGUAGUAGCAGCAGGGUUGGAGGGUUGGAUGAGGAGGUAGAAGCAGGAUGGUUGGAUGAGGAGGUAGUAGCAGCAGGGUUGAAGGAGGAG
rnacentral:lncRNA from 1 species